rnacentral:lncRNA from 1 species
AGCAAAAGUCAUGGGACCUGUGUCAUCUCCAGGCAAAAGCUUUAAGAACCAGCACAUGGUUUGCUGUGUGCCUUUUGCCACUUCUGCAAGGUGGACAAUGGUCCAGAAAGAGGCUGCUUCGGCAGUCGGGAUUCCAAAGGAGAUGAACAAGCUGGGACAUAGUCAACCUGUGAGGGACACGAAGCUGGAGCAAGAAAGAAGUUUUUGUGGCACUGUCCCACCUUGGAGAAAGUACUUGCAAGACACAGCCUGGAACCUGCAGGGAAGUUCCCUCCCCAGAAGGAAGAGACAGUCUUCUCGAGGGGUUACAGCCCCAGGCACCAGAGGUGGAAGCUGUACUUGCUCAGAGCUGCCAGCCUCCCAAGCUGGGUCUUCUCACCGCCUCUGCCAUUGCAGGCAGCCAGACAUGGAUCAGGUGCUCUUCAGAGAGAAACGUGUUGGCAAUUUGGUCCUCAGUAUCAGUGAGCUUAAGUUAAGGUUCUAUCCAGACCUAGAGUGUUAGCAUUUCAAGGAUUAUCUCUCAAACUCUGGUUGAAAGCAUUUCAGGACAAUGGAAAAUUCUAGUUAACUCAGGCCAACCAAAUGUGGCUGUAUUCAAAAAUCCAGAGCCAGGCCUGGGUGGGGCGGAUGACAAUGAGAACACACCCAGAAUUGUAUGAAAUUAUCACAUUUAUAUUUUUAGUGGCUAUGUCACAGUUUUGGCUCAUUUAAUCUUGUGUUCCAUUAUGACCCUCAGAUCUUCCUCAUGGGACCUUUAGAUUCUAAUGAAAUUCUCUAUUUAAUGGCUCAGAGGCCACGUGCCUGGUGUUGCAGAGCGUGGGUGUGGAGUCAACAGACAUCCAUUCCAAUCCGAGUUUCACCCUGGAAAGCAGUGUGAGGUGGAACAAGUUAUUCCGAGGCUCACUUUCUUCAUCUAGAAAAUGGUGAUGAUGAUGACGUUGUUAGGGUUCGACAGGAUGAUGUAUGUGAAGUGUUUGGCCCAGGGCCUGGGACAUGGUGCAUUCCUGCUGCUUCUGCUGCUGUUGUUAAUUAUUAUUACUGCAGGUCAUCUGACCCUCCAGGCCCCCCUUGCAGCUCUUAGAAAAUGAUCUCGGACUCUCUGAGCCUGUUUUUAUUGGAAUCUUGGGGGAAAAAUCGUGUUGUGAAGCCAGGUAUUCAUGCUUGCUUGUCCUCAGAGUCUUUGGUUAUUAACACACAUUGUUUGUUUACACAUGUUGCCUCGCACUAUCCUCACAGGGGCCCUGUGAGGUCAGUAUUCCCAUUCCCAUUUCACGGAUGAUGAAGAGGCCCAGGGAGAUUGAGACGCUUGCUCAAGGUCACACAGCUGGGGAGUAGCAGAACUGGAGUAUUUUUUUUUAACAAG